AGAGAUAAAACUCAAAUGUUUAGUUUAAAAUUAAGAGCCCAUGAAGAUAUUCAUAAGCAAAUUUUCUCCUGGAAAAAAAAAAGCAUUCAAAUUUUAGCACUGUAGUAACCACUUGUGAUUACAUUGACAGUUCAUACUCCUUUUAGGUAAGCACUAAAAGAUCAUCUUGUAAUGUUCUUGUAAACCAAUAUGAGUCCAUUCAGAAUACAUUAUUGAAAGAUUACCAUUUAUAACUCCGACAGACCUCCAAGAUGGCUAACUAUCUCUGGAAACAUGCAUGGCAUACAAGAACAUAUGGAUUUAAUGUUAAGGUCCAUUAGACCAGAAGAAGGCAAAUGCUUUUUAAGACAUGAUUGCUGACAUACCGAAAAGGAUGUAACAGGGGUUUAAAUAAUGGAGGUCUAUAGAAAAAGCUUUAUAGAAGAGAAUAAUAAAAUUAAAAGUGGUUCAUCACUUGGCUGCAUCAGAAAGGAAUACAGAUUUUCACUCAUGAAAUAACUGCAUUGUUAUGAUAUGAUGUCGGACAUUUUAGAUUUAACAUAAUUGGGGGUUUCAGUUAAAACUAGGAAUUCUUAGAUACCACAUAAAAAUUGGAAUUUAAGCUUUGAUGACUAAAAAAAUAAUUAAAGAAUUAAUUAAAAGUCACGUUUAAGGUCCCUUAAGCAUCACACAUUUAAGGUGGGUGUUCCGAAAAUUAGACCAAAUUCUGUCAUACAAUUAGCAUCACACAAUCAUAUAGAACAAUUUUGUUCUGAAAAUUAGACCAAAUUCUAUUUAGAAAUUCUCUAUAUUUAUAUCAAAUAAUGGUUUAUCCAUAAUUAGGACUAGAGAAGUAUUUACAGGAGUUUAGUUUAAUCCUAAUCUAAAUAUGACUAGUGGAUCAUAAACUUAAAAGAAUUUAAAAUAUAAAUAAAACCAUAGACAGGCAAAAGUUCUCAUCCUUUUUAUUUUUCUUUUUAAAUAAAAAGUAUGGUAUGUAUUGUUAAUACAUAAGCACCAAUGAGGUGUCAACCCUAUGCAAAAAUAUUUACAUGUUAAUUAGGAUAUCAAUACGGUCCCUAAAAUCCUCCAUAAAAUAAAGAGGAUGAUCCAUAAACAAAAAACCAAAGAUCUGUAACCAUCUAUUUGUAACCCUAUUAAAAUCAUUUUCCACUCUUUCAAAAGUUCUCUUAUUCUUUUCUUUCCGCACCACUCAAAAUAUAGCAAGGAAAAUAAAACCAUAUGUUUCUUUCCAUUACUAAUACCCUUCUAAACCCAAAUCUCAUCAUUUACGCACCAGCCACCACCCAACUAAUCCCCAGUAACCCUUAUGCCAUGGUCCAUAACUUAUACGCAAACAGGCACCAAAGCAAGAAGUGAUUACAAGACUCCCUCUCCCCCUUGCAUAGAAAACAAUUAUUCACCAUAAUUUUUCCCCUUCUCAUUAACUUGUCAAUAAUAAGAAUAUACUUAUGCCCUGCUCCCAUGCGAAGAAAGCAACUCCCAGUGAAGCAUUCACCUUCUAAAUUUGUUAGAAAGCAAAAUUGGUCUCUAUGGUAUCAUUCUUAACCAAACAAUUAAAGAAAGACCUAACCGAAAAGGUCCCCAUGAUAUUCAGGCUCUAGACUGGUAGGUCAUUACUCCCAUUUGUUGAAGCAACUGAGAAUGUACUUAGGAGAGACUCAUACUCAUUAAUUUUCUAAUCAUUGAGGUUUCUCAUCACAUCCACAUAUCACUCCCUUUGCUCCUCAAUAUCUCUAAGUAACUCAUGGACCAUGAAUAUCCUUGUGCUGCGCAACAACGAAAAUACAGAAAAACUAAUCUCUAAGAGCUCCCCCUCUAAGCCAAGGGUCCUUUCAAAAACUAAUUUUGUCCAUGUUGAGUUUGUUAUUUGAUUUAGUCAAGUUUGUUAAUAAGUCCUAUUCUAUAGGAAGUAGUUUCGUAUUUUGUUCUAAUCUAUUAGCUAUCUUAUUGGGUUGUUAGUAAGUUAACGUUUAAAAGUUCAUUUCUGUGUAACAAGGCUAUAUAAAGGCCUGUAGUUUCCUUUAAUAUAACAACUUUUACAAAUCAUAUGAGUGUUUCUUUACAUUUGGUAUCAGAGCCAUAUAACAGGGCCUGAUUGUGAGUGUUUGUGUGAAUAGAAAAACUGCAGAUUUUUCUAUUGAGUAAAUAGAGNNNN
rnacentral:lncRNA from 1 species